GCACCAACAUAUGUGAUCUCUGUACCUGC
rnacentral:piRNA from 1 species